rnacentral:sRNA from 1 species
GGAUGUGAGGGCGAUCUGGCUGCAACAUCUGCCAUCCAAAUGAUCACCAGGGCUGAUCUGACUGGCUAGGCAGCUGUCCCCUUCCUCCCUCACUGCUCCAUGUGUAUCCCUCCCAAAGCCACAUGUUCAGUAGGAGAGGACGGCCACCCCAAUUGAGGAUAAAAACACUACAUGCACUCUGUAGGGGUGACCACUGUAGACUGAGGUGCUCAUCUGUUUUAAAGGCUACUUACACCUAUUCACAUAAACAGAGCUGCACUUGAGUUUUU